rnacentral:misc_RNA from 1 species
GAUGAAGAACGCAGCGAAAUGCGAUAAGUAGUGUGAAUUGCAGAAUUCAGUGAAUCAUCGAAUCUUUGAACGCACAUUGCGCCCUUUGGUAUUCCUUAGGGCAUGCCUGUUCGAGCGUCAUUUAAACCUUCAAGCUCAGCUUGGUGUUGGGUGACUGUCCGCCGCCUCCGGGCGCGUGGACUCGCCUCAAAAUUAUUGGCGGCCGGUACAUUGGCUUCGAGCGCAGCAGAAACGCGAACUCGGGCCCGUCGUAUUGGCUCCCAGAAGCUAUCUUCACAAUUUUGACCUCGGAUCAGGUAGGGAUACCCGCUGAACUUAAGCAUAUCAUAAGCGGAGGA